rnacentral:rRNA from 1 species
AUUGAACGCUGGCGGCAGGCCUAACACAUGCUAGUCGAGCGAGCGGCGGACGGGUGAGUAAUGUCUGGGAAACUGCCUGAUGGAGGGGGAUAACUACUGGAAACGGUAGCUAAUACCGCAUACCAUCAGAUGUGCCCAGAUGGGAUUAGCUAGUAGGUGGGGUAAAGGCGUACCUAGGCGACGCUCCCUAGCUGGUCUGAGAGGAUGACCAGCCACACUGGAACGGAGACAGGGUCCAGACCCCUACGGUGGGCAGCAGUGGGGAAUAUUGCACAAGGGGCGCAAGCCUGAUGCAGCCAUGCCGCGGGUGUGAAGAAGGCGUUCGGGUUGUAAAGCACUUUCAGCGGGGAGGCGUUACCCGCAGAAGAAGCACCGGCUAACUCCGUGCCAGCAGCCGCGGUAAUUC